AUGGCUCAGAUUGAACGCUGGCGGCAGGCCUAACACAUGCAAGUCGAGCGGAUGAAGAGAGCUUGCUCUCUGAUUCAGCGGCGGACGGGUGAGUAAUGCCUAGGAAUCUGCCUGGUAGUGGGGGACAACGUCUCGAAAGGGACGCUAAUACCGCAUACGUCCUACGGGAGAAAGCAGGGGACCUUCGGGCCUUGCGCUAUCAGAUGAGCCUAGGUCGGAUUAGCUAGUUGGUGAGGUAAUGGCUCACCAAGGCGACGAUCCGUAACUGGUCUGAGAGGAUGAUCAGUCACACUGGAACUGAGACACGGUCCAGACUCCUACGGGAGGCAGCAGUGGGGAAUAUUGGACAAUGGGCGAAAGCCUGAUCCAGCCAUGCCGCGUGUGUGAAGAAGGUCUUCGGAUUGUAAAGCACUUUAAGUUGGGAGGAAGGGUUGUAGAUUAAUACUCUGCAAUUUUGACGUUACCGACAGAAUAAGCACCGGCUAACUCUGUGCCAGCAGCCGCGGUAAUACAGAGGGUGCAAGCGUUAAUCGGAAUUACUGGGCGUAAAGCGCGCGUAGGUGGUUUGUUAAGUUGGAUGUGAAAGCCCCGGGCUCAACCUGGGAACUGCAUUCAAAACUGACAAGCUAGAGUAUGGUAGAGGGUGGUGGAAUUUCCUGUGUAGCGGUGAAAUGCGUAGAUAUAGGAAGGAACACCAGUGGCGAAGGCGACCACCUGGACUGAUACUGACACUGAG
rnacentral:rRNA from 1 species